rnacentral:rRNA from 1 species
CCUACGUGCGGCAGCAGUGGGGAAUAUUGCGCAAUGGGGGCAACCCUGACGCAGCCAUGCCGCGUGAAUGAAGAAGGCCUUCGGGUUGUAAAGUUCUUUCGGUAGCGAGGAAGGCAUUUAGUUUAAUAGACUCGGUGAUUGACGUUAACUACAGAAGAAGCACCGGCUAACUCCGUGCCAGCAGCCGCGGUAAUACGGAGGGUGCGAGCGUUAAUCGGAAUAACUGGGUGUAAAGGGCACGCAGGCGGUGACUUAAGUGAGGUGUGAAAGCCCCGGGCUUAACCUGGGAAGUGCAUUUCAUACUGGGUCGAGAGAGUACUUUAGGGAGGGGUAGAAUUCCACGUGUAGCGGUGAAAUGCGGAGAGAUGUGGAGGAAUACCGAAGGCGAAGGCAGCCCCUUGGGAAUGUACUGACGCUCAUGUGCGAAAGCGUGGGGAGCAAACAGGAUUAGAUACCCUUGUAGUC